UACGUAGGGGCCCAGCGUUGUCCGGAUUUAUUGGGUGUAAAGAGCUCGUAGGCGGUUCAGUAAGUCGGGUGUGAAAACUCUGGGCUCAACCCAGAGACGCCACCCGAUACUGCUGUGACUUGAGUACGGUAGGGGAGUGGGGAAUUCCUGGUGUAGCGGUGAAAUGCGCAGAUAUCAGGAGGAACACCAGUGGCGAAGGCGCCACUCUGGGCCGUAACUGACGCUGAGGCACGAAAGCGUGGGGAGCAAACAGG
rnacentral:rRNA from 1 species